rnacentral:rRNA from 1 species
UUUAUGAAGAGUUUGAUCCUGGCUCAGGAUGAACGCUGGCGGCGUGCCUAAUACAUGCAAGUCGAGCGAACAGACGGGGAGCUUGCUCCCCCGACGUUAGCGGCGGACGGGUGAGUAACACGUGGGUAACCUACCUAUAAGACUGGAAUAACUCCGGGAAACCGGGGCGAAUGCCGGAUAACAUGUUGGACCGCAUGGUCCUACAGUGAAAGACGGUCUUGCUGUCACUUAUAGAUGGACCCGCGCCGUAUUAGCUAGUUGGUAAGGGAAUGGCUUACCAAGGCAACGAUACGUAGCCGACCUGAGAGGGUGAUGGGCCACAAUGGAGCUGAGACACGGU